GCCCAUGUUUCUCUCUGGAAUUGAAGUCACAAGAUGGAAAAUUAUUCAUAAUUGCAAUCAUAACAUACCAUACAAUAGAGAGUUUCCUGCCAAGGAAACUUUGAUUUCAAAGACCUUACGCAAGUCGCAUGUAGUCGUGACUAUUUUUUUUUUGCAAGAAGCUCCUGCCAGCCUUCAAACUCAACACAACCCAGGUGAUAUCCACAUCAUGGGUACUACCAAGAUUUUCCUGCUCCUUCUCUCAGUGGCCCUGUUGGCCCUGAGCUCAGCUCAAGGAACACCCAAGGAAGCCCCAAGACAGCAACCUGCUGAACCUGAACCAGCCCCAAGGCAACAAACUAGGAAAAGUAAAGGAGAACCAGGCGAACCACCUGAAGGAGAACCAGGUCCACCACCUGAAGGAGAACCAGGUGCACCACCUGAAGGAGAACCAGGUGCACCACCUGAAGGAGAACCAGGUGCACCACCUGAAGGAGAACCAGGUGCACCACCUGAAGGAGAACCAGGUGCACCACCUGAAGGAGAACCAGGUGCACCACCUGAAGGAAGAAGCUAUCUCAGACCUAGCCACAAGCCUACUCAUGCCAAUAUCUUCAAGGAGAGAAGAGAAGAAGAAAUAGGAGAACCAGGUGCACCACCUGAAGGUAAGUAGUAUGUCUAUCUCUAAACACUCCUUUCUUUCCCCGUUCCUUGAGGACCCUAGACCUUGUUCUCAUUUGAAACCAUUUGGCACAUCCACUCUUAAAGUUCAGUACCAAGAAAGAGAGGGUAAUAAUGAACUAGGAGGGUGGUCAGGUUAAAAGGCUUUGUUUUCUCUUGCCAUUGCAUAGCUCACAUAUUUCCACCAGAGAUUUUCCCAGAUCAAAAAUCCAAAAUGAUUUUCUCAUCUUUUCCUAAAGCAUAGUUUGCUUUUUUCCAUUGCCUAAUACCCUAGAUCAAAGAUUUCAAGAUCACUUUGUAAUAUUUAAUGCAAUGUUCUCUUCAUGUCUCUGCAGUGUGGGUAUUUCUCUCUCUCUUUCUCUGUGUUUUCACAGUCCCUCUGUGUCUGGUCUUUCUCUGAAUUGAUAUCUUUAUCUCUCUGUCUCUGUCUUGCUUUUUCUCUGCCUUUGUCUCUCCCUCUGUCUCUCUCUCUUUCACACACACACACACACACACACACACACACACACACACACAUGCACACACACAUUUUCUCUGUA
rnacentral:lncRNA from 1 species